UUCCGGUUGAUCCUGCCGGACCCCACUGCUAUCGGGAUAGGACUAAGACAUGCUAGUCAAGCGCUUUCUAGCUAAUGUGAGAGCGCGGCGUACAGCUCAGUAACACGUGGCCAACCUGCCCUUGGGACGGGAACACCCCCGGGAAACUGGGGUUAAUUCCCGAUAGGUGAAGAAGUCUGGAAUGAUUCUUCGCUCAAAAGACGUUUAUGUCAUGCUCAUAUUCGUCGCCCAGGGAUGGGGCCGCGACCGAUCAGGUAGUUGGUGAGGCAAUGGCUCACCAAGCCUUUUACCGGUGCGGGCCGUGAGAGCGGGAGCCCGGAGAUGGGCACUGAGACAAGGGCCCAGGCCCCACGGGGCGCAGCAGUCGCGAAAAUUUUGCAAUACACGAAAGUGUGACAGAGCUAUCCCGAGUGCCAUCCGCUGAGGAAGGCUUUUACCCAGUAUAAAUAGCUGGGAGAAUAAGGAGAGGGCAAGUCUGGUGUCAGCCGCCGCGGUAAUACCAGCUCUCCGAGUAGUGUGGACGUUUAUUGGGCCUAAAGCAUCCGUAGCUUGCUAGAUAAGUCCUCUGUUAAAUCCACCGAUUCAAUCGUUGGAUUGCGGGGGAUACUGUUUGGCUAGGGGACGGGAGAGGUCGACGGUAUUUCCGGGGUAGGGGUGAAAUCCUAUAAUCCUGGGAGGACCACCAGUGGCGAAGGCUGUUGACUAGAACGCGCCCGACGGUGAGGGAUGAAAGCUGGGGGAGCGAACCGGAUUAGAUACCCGGGUAGUCCCAGCUGUAAACGAUGCAGGCUAGGUGUUUGGGCGGCCACGAGCCGCCCUAGUGCCGCAGGGAAGCUGUUAAGCCUGCCGCCUGGGGAGUACGGCCGCAAGGCUGAAGCUUAAAGGAAUUGGCGGGGGAGCACCACAAGGGGUGAAGCUUGCGGUUUAAUUGGAUUCAACGCCGGG
rnacentral:rRNA from 1 species